GAUGAACGCUGGCGGCGUGCCUAAUACAUGCAAGUCGAGCGAACGGACGAGAAGCUUGCUUCUCUGAUGUUAGCGGCGGACGGGUGAGUAACACGUGGAUAACCUACCUAUAAGACUGGGAUAACUUCGGGAAACCGGAGCUAAUACCGGAUAAUAUUUUGAACCGCAUGGUUCAAAAGUGAAAGACGGUCUUGCUGUCACUUAUAGAUGGUUCUGCGCUGCAUUAGCUAGUUGGUAAGGUAACGGCUUACCAAGGCAACGAUGCAUAGACGACCUGAUUGGGGGAUCGCCCACACGGGAACUGAGACACGGACCAGACGCCUACGGGAGGCAGCAGUAGGGAAUCGUCAGCAAUGGGCGAGAGUCUUGCGGAGCGACGCCGCGUGAGAUAUGAAGGUCUUCGGAGCGGAAAACUCUGUUAUGAGGGAAGAACAUAUGUGGAAGUUACUGUGCACAUCUUGACGGUACCUAAUAAGAAAGCCACGGCUAACUACGUG
rnacentral:rRNA from 1 species